UAGGACGACGCUGGCGGCGUGCCUAACACAUGCAAGUCGAACGGUAACAGGGACUUCGGUCCGCUGACGAGUGGCGCACGGGUGAGUAACGCGUGGAGUUACCUGCCCAUCAGUGGGGAACAACUCCGGGAAACSGGAGCUAAUACCGCAUACGACCUUCGGGUGAAAGAGGGGGAUCUUCGGACCUCUCGCUGAUGGAUGGUUCCGCGUCCGAUUAGUUAGUUGGUAAGGUAAUGGCUUACCAAGACGAUGAUCGGUAGCUGGUCUGAGAGGAUGAUCAGCCACACUGGAACUGAGACACGGUCCAGACUCCUACGGGAGGCAGCAGUGGGGAAUUUUGCACAAUGGGCGAAAGCCUGAUGCAGCGACGCCGCGUGCGGGAAGAAGGCCUUCGGGUUGUAAACCGCUUUCAACAGGGAAGAAGGAAUGAGGGCCAAUACCCCUCUGCCUUGACGGUACCUGUAGAAGAAGCCCCGGCUAAUUUCGUGCCAGCAGCCGCGGUAAUACGAAAGGGGCAAGCGUUGUUCGGAUUUACUGGGCGUAAAGAGAUCGUAGGUGGCUUGUUAAGUCGGAUGUGAAAUCCCGGGGCUCAACCCCGGAACUGCAUUCGAUACUGGCAGGCUUGAGUUCGGGAGGGGGGAAGCGGAAUUCCGUGUGUAGCAGUGAAAUGCGUAGAUAUACGGAGGAACACCUGAGGCGAAGGCGGCUUCCUGGACCGAUACUGACACUGAGGAUCGAAAGCGUGGGUAGCAAACAGGAUUAGAUACCCUGGUAGUCCACGCCCUAAACGAUGUCUACUAGCCGUUGCGGGUAUCGACCCCUGCAGGUGGCGCAGCUAACGCGAWARGUAGACCGCCUGGGGAGUACGGCCGCAAGGCUAACCA
rnacentral:rRNA from 1 species